rnacentral:rRNA from 1 species
GAUGAACGCUAGCUACAGGCUUAAUACAUGCAAGUCGCGGGGCAGCAUGGGGGUUGCUUGCACUCCCCGAUGGCGACCGGCGCACGGGUGAGUAACGCGUAUUCAACCUGCCCUUCACCACGGGAUAACCCGGCGAAAGUCGGACUAAUACCGUAUGUUGUCCAUUGACGGCAUCCGAUUUGGACGAAAGGCUUGGCGGUGAGGGAUGGGGAUGCGUCCGAUUAGCCAGACGGCGGGGUAACGGCCCACCGUGGCUACGAUCGGUAGGGGUUCUGAGAGGAAGGUCCCCCACACUGGAACUGAGACACGGUCCAGACUCCUACGGGAGGCAGCAGUGAGGAAUAUUGGUCAAUGGGCGUAAGCCUGAACCAGCCAAGUAGCGUGCAGGAUGACGGCCCUAUGGGUUGUAAACUGCUUUUAUGCGGGGAUAAAGUGGCCCACGUGUGGGCUUUUGCAGGUACCGCAUGAAUAAGGACCGGCUAAUUCCGUG